rnacentral:rRNA from 1 species
UACGUAGGUGGCAAGCGUUGUCCGGAUUUAUUGGGCGUAAAGAGCGUGUAGGCGGUUCGGUAAGUCUGUCGUGAAAUCCUGAGGCUCAACCUCGGACGUGCGAUGGAUACUGCCGGGCUAGAGGACGGUAGAGGCGAGUGGAAUUCCCGGUGUAGCGGUGAAAUGCGCAGAUAUCGGGAGGAACACCAGUAGCGAAGGCGGCUCGCUGGGCCAUUCCUGACGCUGAGACGCGAAAGCUAGGGGAGCGAACAGG